GCUUAACACAUGCAAGUCGAGCGACGAACCAGGCUUCGGCCUGGGGAAAGCCGCGAACGGGUGAGUAACACGUGGGUAACCUGCCCCGAUGAUUGGGAUAACCCGAGGAAACUCGAGCUAAUACCAAAUGUGUCCGCUAUCCAUAAGGAUGGCGCGUAAAGGUAGCUUCGGCUUCCGCAUCGGGAGGGGCCCGCGGCCCAUUAGCUUGUUGGUGUGGGUAACGGCCCACCAAGCCUUCGAUCAGUAACUGGUGUGAGAGCACGACCAGUCACACGGGCACUGAGACACGGGCCCGACUCCUACGGGAGGCAGCAGUAAGGAAUAUUGGUCAAUGGAGGCAACUCUGAACCAGCCAUGCCGCGUGAAGGAUGAAGGUCCUCUGGAUUGUAAACUUCUUUUAUGUGGGACGAAAUGCAUUUCUUCUAAAGUGUUUGACGGUACCAUAGGAAUAAGCACCGGCUAACUCCGUGCCAGCAGCCGCGGUAAUUC
rnacentral:rRNA from 1 species